rnacentral:lncRNA from 1 species
AAUUCCUUAACUAGCUGAAUUGAACUAACAUCCUGUGAUAGAUAAACUGAAGGUUUAAUCUCAAACUCCAUCUACUCAUCAAUAUUAUAAUCUUUAUCUAUAGCAACUGACUCCUUUCUUGAAAGAAGCAUAGCCUUUUACCUCAAAGAUAUUAUCUCUAAUGACUAUGAAUUUCGAAGAAGGCUCAAUACUCCAUAAUUUGUAGCCUUUCACCC